UGAAAUUGACGUAUUUUUUUAUUAAUAAGAUAGUGAAAUGAAUUUUUUUAUAUUAAUUUAAUUUAAAUGAAAUUGACGUAUUUUUUUUUAUUGAGGGAGAGAUUGCUUAGAAUUUACAUGGGAUUCCAAAUGUAUAAAUGAGAUGGAUGAAUUUCGGUUCAAUGCUUAUGAAAAUGCUAAACUUUACAAGGAGAAAGUCAAAGUCUGACACGAUAAGAAAAUUCUCGAUCGGACAUUUGAACCGGGCCAACAAGUACUAAUGUUCAACUCACGCUUGCGUUUAUUCCCCGGUAAGUUAAAAUCUCGCUGGUCCGGGCCGUUCGUGAUUAUCUCAGUCGCACCACACGGAAACAUCGAAAUAGAAGAACCAAAUUCAAAGCGAACAUUUAAGGUGAACGGUCAACGACUUAUACAUUACUGGAGUGGACCUAUCGAACGCCAAUCUACGGCCGUACACCUCCCAGAACCAGCAACCAAUUGAGCAACACGGAAAAGUCGGGCUGACGACUAUAAACCAAGCGCUAUAGGGUUAUCAAAGUCUGGACCUUGACUCAAAAGAUUGGCAUAUUUGUCGUUGAGUCCCUCUAAUGGCAGUUGAUAACAACCAUUAAUGUCUUCGUCGCCAAUUUCCACUGUCUUUCCCCUCACAAACACUCCAUAGUGAUCGUGCUCUGAAACAUUAGCGUAGAAUUCCUUAACAAUUACAAUCACUGCCGGGUCAGGCUGUUCGGUGAGGGAGAACCAGUUCCUCUCAGCAAUCAUCAUGGCUAUAUCCCCAUCCUUGGAUUAAUCAGGCCGUAAACCACGUUCGGGGACUAAUGAGCAUGUGGCCAUACGAUUAUAGCGUUCCUGUGCUUCGGCGGAGACAAAUCAUCGGCUAUCAAAUUUCGGCGGGGCCGAGGCGGUCCUGGAACCUUCGUCGCGUUGACGCUUUGAUGCCAUUAUGAAAUUCUGCAAAAAUUUGCAUCACACGUAUUAGAAUUAGGAAAAAUUCGAAUAUGGACAUGUGUACCCAUAGCACCACCCCCAAACUUCAAAAUGGCUACAUGUUAUGUGGAAUGGUUUGGGGGUGUGGGAAACACAGAGUAGCGUGGAAGUACAAAUGCGAUUUACUAUGCUCAUUUGACAUUCAGAAAGCGCUAUUGGAAAAAGCAGCCCAAGUUAUUCUCAAGAGAUGUGAUGUGGAGAACAAUAGGACCCCAUGUAAGCAUUAAUACAGUUUAGCCCCCCUAUCAUAGUGAAAUAUGUGUUCGACAGUAGUCCUAUGCCAUUGGGGUGUCAAGAUGGAAACUAACUCAGUGUGUGAAUAUGAUACGGUGUGAUAUUUGCUAAGACACUUAACUCAGGCAUAAUUUCAAACACUUUGGGUGCAGUUUAUAACUCUCCUUGAACAUCCCUAUUAGCAUAUCAAUUCAGUCCUGACGCAUCCCAUUAUCAUAGACACAUAACGUAGGUAUACCAAUCAAAAGUGUUUCGCAAACAUAUAGCAGGCCUUUAGCCAAAAUAAGAGCAAUAAUAUGCAAUCUUAGUCAUGGGAAAAUGCAUCAAGAUCAAUAUUACUUCAAUUACCAGUAUGCAGUUGAGAUUUGAUGUAGUGGUGCUUGGAAAUUAAAGCAUUACAUACCUGGGAGAUGAAACUAACUGAUGAAACAAAGAGGCAAGAUGAAACAAACAAAUGGUGCCACAGAUUUUUCACUUGUCAAAAUAAUUUAGCUCAGUUAUCAUAUUAGAGGAGAAAAGAUGUGAAGAGAAUUUAAAGGGAAGAAGUGCGAACCGAAUGGACGUGUUCAGAUAUUAUUGCAGUUGUAACCGCUCCCCAGCGCCGGGGCGCUGGGUUGUAAAGGCAUUGUAGCGUUGGGGAGCUGGUAUCCAGAAGUUGUUGACCAAGAAUAGCGCCGGGGCGCUGAGAAGUGCAUGUGUUAGAGCGUCGGGGCACUGGGCCUGUCUUGGAGUUGCUGCCCUUUAGCGCCGGGGCGCUGUGGCCCUUUGAUCUUGGGCGCCGGGGCGCUGAACCCUAUUGUCUGCAAGCUUGGGCUGUGGGUGAAAUUGCUGCUCAUCUGUAAAUCAAUAAAAGUGCAAGAAGAUUAUUAUGUUUUGUUACAUAUUAAUACUAAAAGUAAAAGA
rnacentral:lncRNA from 1 species